UGGAAGUUCCUAGGCUGGAGAUCAAAUAAGGGCUAUAGCUGCUGGCUUACACCUCAGCUAAAGCAAUGCCAGAUCUGAGCCGUGUCUUUGACCUACACUACAGCUCACACGGCAAUGCCAGAUCCUUAACCCACUGAGCAAGGCCAGGGAUCAAACCCACCUCCUCAUGGAUACUAGUCAGGUUACUUACCAGUGAAACCAGGAUAGAAACUCUGGAGUUUGUUUCUUACUCUGAAGCUAGAUUUUUUUAAAUGUUUCCCUUUAAAAGUAAGCACAUAUUUUCUGUUUAGUUUCAUAAAUAUUAUUAGUUGUUUCAUUUAUUUUGUGAUGUCUUUUUUAGUUCUCUUUUAUUUCUGUAUUCUACCAUUUUGUGGAACUAUAUAAACUAUUUAGGUCCCCACUACCUUACAGAUAUUCUUAGAUACAUAGUUUUCAUUAAAGUAGAUUAAAAUUCACCUUAAUAUUUUAAGCCACACAUUUACCAGAGCCAUCCUUAAAGACAAAUUCAACCUACAAUUAAAAUUUAUACCAGAAGCAAUUUUUGUUUCUUUCUUUUGGAGCAUAUUUUAUGUUCCCAGUUCAUCUACUUUUUCAAAACCUUUCCUUAGAAAAACUCUGAUUGGUGUUACAAAUAAACAAUUAUGCCAUCUAAAAAAUGUGCCCAGGGGUGGGGUAUGCCUGUACUCGAUAGGCAGGUGGCAUCAAAAUGUUAGCCAUAGCUAAAGCUGUGGUGGUUUCAUGGUUUCAUAGCCAGUAUGUCUCCUCAACAAACAUACAUUAGUUUUAAAACUCCUCAUCAGAAAUCAUGGCUAUAAAAAUAACCUGAAAAAAGAAAACUAAUUUGAACCCUUUUAAUCUGCUCCAGAGACACUGUGCAUCCCGUUACACCACAGUGGGAACUCCUCUGCACCUUUUCUUGAUAAAAAUGUCUAGUGAAGCUUAUCUUGACAAUUUUAAAUUCAGCUUAAAAAUAAAUAAUACAGGUUUCCUUUCCCCAAGUUAGCUAAUAAAGUUAAAAUAUAUAUAAGCAGUUUAAAACUAAAAUUACUGCAAAAUGAUGUUAUAUAUUUAUGAAUGUUUACAUACACUAGGAUGUUUUUUGGCCAUGCCCACAGUAUCAAAAGUUCCUGGCCCACCAGAGCCACAGUAGUAACAACACCAGAUCCUUAACCCACUGAGCCAUGAGGGAACUCAUAUUCUCAUAUUUUUACAUAAAUUUGGGUUACAAUUAACAAACUUAAAAUAUCGAACAUCACAAUGGAGCCUACUGCACACAGUAAGUACACAGCUUGUUCAACAUUCAAUUUAGAAAAGUGUGACAGACACCAAAGGAUGUAUAACUUUUUCAAAGAUAGGCCUAUUGAUAAUGUGCUUGCAUGCAUUCCACAAAUCAAUUCUAUGAAAUUUCUAAGAUAUUUUUCUCAGUGUCUGAAUUUAUCUAGCCCUAUACCAGUGAUUAAUAGUUUGAUAACCAGCACUGAUGUGCAGGCUACACUUUAAAUUUUUUUCUUUUUUAAUUAUUUAUUUAUUUUUGCUGUGCCUUUGGCAUUAGUAAAUUCCCAGGCCAGGAAUUUAACCCACACCACAGCAGUGACCUAAGUCACAGUGGUGACAAAGCCAGAUCCUUAACCCACUAGGCCCCCAGAGAAAAAAGUGAGACUAUUGGUUCCUAUUCAAGAAUUCAGUAAUACUGUACUCCAUCAGCCAGAAGAACUCACCUGGUAAAACUGUAAAAUGAUGCCAGUAGGCAAAGAAAAUUCCCAGCAAGCAUAAGGAGCUGCUCUAUAGAAUGAACUAUGUCUUUUUAAUAGGAUGAUCAUAUAAUUUACUGUGGCAAUUUGGGUAUUUUCAGAGGGAAAAUGGCAAUUAUUCAAUAUGAUAAUAUGACAAAAGGUGUGAAUUGGCACUGCCUGCACUAAAUUGGGAACUAUAGUCACUAUGGCCCAAGAUUCAGCCAUGAUCUCUUUCACAGAAAGCAAACAAUAACCUAGAAUUCAUGGUGGCGUUCUUAAGAGUGACCCAUUCACUAUUAAAUCAAAUAACCCACUUACAAAAUGUUUGCAUUUAAUUUCUGUGAUUUACGGUAUGGCUAUAUUUAGAUACCUUAGUAUACAAGAAGAAAUGCUUUCACCAGGAAACACAGUUAUAGACUUGCUGCAUUGAAAAUUAAGAAGGUCUACUUGUUAGGGCUCUGCGUUUUUCAACACACAUCCGCUGCGCAAUAAAGAACUGGAGCUGCACUAGAGAUGAAGACAGACAGGCUCUCUAGGCGGGAGCACUGAGUUGGGAUCCAAGUGGUAGUUGGUAAGAGUCAAAGGAAACCCCUCCUUAAAGCGACAAUGUCAUGGGUUGAUAAUUAUAGCUCUUGUUGGGAUGCUUUAAGAGGUGUCACCUGGUCCACCAGAACAAAAACUGUGCCGCAGUGGAUUGCCUUGGAGAGUGCAAUCAGUUGAAUCAAAUUUGCUGGAAGGGAAGUGUGCAGCAGAUUUAUUUAAAGCAAAAGUACCUCUCAGAGAGAGAGAGUGGGCUGCCCCGGAAAUAGAGACUGGACCCACUUUACAAUUGGGUUUUUUUUUUAAUAUCCCCAUCCUGCAGACCUGAGUGGGGACCUUAUUUUUCCUGCCCCAGCCCACUGAUUCUUCCUGCUGUGGCUCACUGCACAUGCAUAAGGGCUGAGUGUUGACUUGUCUCUGUAUGGGGCAUAUCUGAUCUUCUGCUCUUCAGGCAAGAUACCUUAUUUGAAUGUGGAACAGGUUAUACAGAGGCUGGUGAGGAGUGGCCACACAUCUCUUCUACUAGGGAGUAGGAAGGAGUAGGCUAGGUUGCUCAAGUGGGGUAAGGGGUAUUACAGUGAGAGGGUGGGCCUAACAUACUUUUUAUUUGAAGCUUCUGCUACUGAACUAAGAAAAGAGAGGAGUUAAUGUACUGGCCAAAGUGACUGAUCUGAUUACUAAGGGAAAAUUAAGCUGCUGCUCCACAAUAGUGACAAGAUCAGCUGUAUCAUUAUAUCAUAAAGUGAGAGGGUUCUCUUAAGUGCCUCCUAUCCCUCCAUGCUCAGUAAUACGGUCACCCUGGUAAACAGAGGAACGUGGAGAACUGCUGCCCCAUAGGAAUGAGGACAUGUCAAGUUAACCUUCCACAUAAAAAAUCCUCAACCAGUUGAUAUACAUGUAGAGGGUAAGGAAACAUGAAAUAGAAGCUACUAUAAGAAGGGAUAAUAGUCAGCUACAUGAAAGCAAUUAUGUUUUACAUUUAUUUAUCAUUUCCAUUGCUCUGCUAAGUUACCAGAGUCUUUUCAGCCAAACAAAGCACCUGAGUUGAUAUUAAGGGGAAAAGGAGGAAAAGAGGUAGAUUGUACAAGUUAUUCUGUUUCUCCCUCCAGGUGUAUGUUCCAACUACUCUAUCUCGCUACAAACACUGAACAUCUGGCUUCUAAAGGCUAACAUUAACAAAGCUGCUCUUCCCAUCUUCCCAGAGAGUUAUCCAUAUACAGUAGUGGAAGGGGUUCAAGGACAGUUGGAGAGAGAAGUCAAGAUAUCUAUUACCCUGAUACACUUCAUUCUCUAUUUGGCUACACUUGGCAGUAGUUGCUCAUCACUUUUUUUAAAAAAAUAGCUACUGCCAUCAGAUGUGAUAACCACUGGCUCCCAAUUCCCUGCCAGCCUAGGGGUGAUAAUGGAUGACUGCUAUUGCUAGCCCCGUGGCAAUUCACCAUUCCUUAUUAGUUUUCCUUUACCUUGUUUUUACUUCUGUAGAUAUUGUUUCAUUAAACCCUCUUCAGUUAUACUUGUUGAGAUCACAUGUUUCAUGUGAGAAAUCUGAUCAAAAUGGACAUUUUUUACUGUUAAGGUUGCUGAAGAGCUUUUAAAAAAUAAAUUUACACUAAUUAUAAUUGUUCCUAUAUAUAGGAUAAUUACUGCUAGUGAAGAUAAAAGGUGAAAUUUAAAUUUAAAAAUAAAAAGAGAACUUUGAUAUAAAAGAAGUAAAAUAUUUUCUACCUCGUAUCUACAUUAAAGUUAUAAACAUACACACACACACCCAGAUAUAUGUAUGUAUGUGUAAAUAUGUGUAUAUUUAUACACAUAUAUAAAUUCAUAUGUAUAUACCUGGAACUGUUUUGGUUCAUGAAAAUGAAUAUAACUUGCCUGGAUUAAAGACCUGAGAAUAGAGUUUAGCAAAGGGUAAGGAGUGGGGGUGGGGGAGGACAAUGAUGCUCUGUACAUGAUACAGUGUUUUUGAAGUAGGGAUAAACAGAAGAGAGAAUAUGGGAUGCAAAUCAAAGGGAGGAGAUAGAGAUUAGGCAAUGAUAUAGAAAACUAGAAGUUAUAAAAAGUCUUUGAGAGGAGUUCUCAGCUAAAUUUUCAUUAAUAUUAGAGAUGUGUUAUAUUCACUUUGGUUGAUUGUCCUGUUAUAUAAUAAAACUGAUUCAUCUCCUAAAACAAUGAGUAAAAUUUGGUAUACCAGGAAAGCCUCAAAUGAUAGUAUUGGGAGCAAAAAUAGCACAAAGCAAUGACCUUCAAUAAUCACACCUCUGUUUAAAUUACAAUAGGGAGGGCAGCACUGAGAAAGGUAACACAAUUAUUCAGAUCCUUCCUGCCAAGGUAAGCAGUAGAGUGAAUGCAGUAGAGAUGAGAAUGGCACAGAGAAGCAGCUGUAUUUUAGAAUCACCCUAGGAAAUUAUUAAGACUAAUUUCCUUUUGUCCAAACAUUCUAGGGAAAAAGGGGACUGACAGGUAACUCAAAGCUUUUUCAAAAUUAAAGCAUAUAAAGUUGAAUAAAUCAAGAAACAUACGUGUUUAAUGGCUGAAGUAAAUAAGCAUCAUACAUUUAUAAUCUAUGUUUAAAAUAUUUUGAAUAAACUAGUUUCCAUAAGCAUCCACAAAGUAUUACAGUAUUAAGAUAUAUGUUUAAAGUAUUUUAAAUAAACUACUCUAUAAUAAAAACAUUUUUAUUUUAUUCAUUAUCUUUUAGAACACUUCCACUGGAUAAAAUCCUAUACCCAAGCGUUUGUUCUCUCACUUUCUUGCUCCACAUCUCCUUUCUUCUUAUCAACCAUUUUAGCCCCUUCAGUAUGACAAGGGCAGUUGCAGGAGAGCAAUAAAAACACAGUGAAGGUUUACAGAUGACUGAUUUGAUGUAAGCAGGAGAUAUUGCAAUCUAUAUACAGUAGAUUUAAAAUUCAUGGCUACUUCCAUUAGUUGGCACUUAUGUGGAUUCUCCACAGAAUUCCACUGCUGGGCAUCUUACAGGCAGUUCACUCUGUCAAGUGUGUAAUAUUUCCUCUGAUUGGUCAUGUUUCCUAUAGCCCCAGGAUGGUACUACUCUCUACUGUCUAUGUAUCCUGGCCUCAUAUCUAUUGGACAGAGAUGGCCCUGUCUGACUCCUCAUGUGAAGUUCACAGAAAAAUUACAUGCAUCCUCAACCAGUCUGUUUCUGAUAGGGCCAGAUACACACGCUCUGCUGCCAAACAGUAGCAACUCUAAUAAUCACUGUUCACCUUACAGUUGAACAGAUGGAGAAAGAUGUCCCCUGGACUCCAGUGAGCUCAUGACCUCUUGCAAUGAUUAUUUUCAACUCAAUUGUCUCAAUAGAGACAGAAUCACUUUCUCUUGUUCUCCCUUGAAUUGAGUUGGAGAAGGGAGAGAAAAUACAAAGCACACUAAUGACUCUCUUUAUAAUUAAAACAUUCCUCCACCACAUGAAGAAUUCAUAUAUAUCUAUUACCUAUACAAACAACCUUGUUUAAUAUCCUCAGGCAUAGCUUUACUUUUUCUUGUAAAGUGCGGAGGUGGUAAGUAAUGUGCUGUUUCUGAGAGCAUCCUUUACUUUCCAUUUAGCUUAUUCUGCAAAGGUGAUUCUAAAAUUAGUGUGAAUAUACAUUGCAAAUAUGUUUUAAUUUUUUUUCAGUGAUACUAACUCAUGUUCUUUAUUUUUUUUACAUCUUUCUUUUCAUGCCAUCCUCUGCAAUUUUCAUUCAAGCACUUAGGACUCUUGGCUCUCAUUUUCCCAGGGGAAGAAUAUAACCAAAAAAAUUUAAAGAUCAAAAAAAGUCUUUGUUUUUUUUUAAUGAGUUGAUAUCUAAGAACUCAAGCAGUUUGACUCUAUUCAUAGGCAAACCAUUUGAUAGAUAUUCAGAGGUUAUAUAAAAAGGGAUCUGCCAAGUAUGCAGACUGUUUCUGAAGACUAGAAAAUAUUCUCCUGGGUAAAGGCAAAAGAAGGGUAACUAAUAGAACAAUCUGUUCCAGAGUAGUCUGUUUCCUGUGAUUUGAAAGGAAGAGAAGGCCCAUGCCCUCCUUUCCAUUGGUGUUCAACAAGGGUUUUAAAAAAAUUGCAAUUGUGAACCUAGUUACUUUUGGCUAU
rnacentral:lncRNA from 1 species